UACGUAGGGGGCAAGCGUUGUCCGGAAUCAUUGGGCGUAAAGAGCGUGUAGGCGGCUCGAUAAGUCUGCUGUGAAAGUCCAGGGCUCAACCCUGGAAGGCCGGUGGAAACUGUCGGGCUAGAGUCCGGAAGAGGCGAGUGGAAUUCCCGGUGUAGCGGUGAAAUGCGCAGAUAUCAGGAGGAACACCGGUGGCGAAGGCGGGACUCUGGGCCGAUACUGACGCUGAGGAGCGAAAGCGUGGGGAGCAAACAGG
rnacentral:rRNA from 1 species